AAAAAAGUUAGUUGCCUCAGUUGAAAUAUAAGUUCCGAGAUAAACUGGCGGCUGGGAGUCGUGGCGUGCUCCUGUAAUCCAGCUACUUGGAGGCCGGGGUUGGUGGACGGCUUGAGGCGAGGAGCCCUCCCUUCUGGUUCCCUAUGUUGACCGGAUGUCCGCACUAGGCCCAGCGUCAAUAUGGCGACCCCGGGGGAGCCCGGGGCCUCCAGGUCAGCUAAGGAGGAGUGGACCGGCCCAGGGCGGAAACGCAGCAGGCAAAAGCUCCCGCGCAGGGCGGUAGUGGGAUCGCGUCCGUGAAUAGUGUCCAAUGGGAGCCUCGCCGAUAUAGUUGGACCCAACUCUUUUUUUUUUUUAAAUAUAUUUUUAUUUUAAUUCAUACUUUUAAAAUUAUUUACAGUAAAAAGAGUUUAUAUUGCGCGAUAGAUGUUAAAAGGUCAAGGGUUCGAACCCGCUUUUGGCAACUUUUUUUUUUUAACCAUUAAUUUUUAUUUAUUAUUUUUUUAAUACGAAAUAGAGAUUUUAAAAUAUAUUGCCACGUGGAAAAUUAGGAAAGACAAACCUCAGAAUUACACGGCAAUUUAUUUAAUGUAAAACCGAAUUGAAAUUAUUAAAAUAGCAGAGAGGUAAUGAGAAAAUUUUUACAGUGUAUCAAAAUACAAACAUCGAAAUUAAAAAAUCUUUUCAUAGAAUAAUAAAUACUCUGCUAAAUAGCUUCUUCCCUAUGGGAGCUGUGACCUACAGCUUGUUGCUACUGACAUGGAUCUGA